CCUACUGCCAGAAGGAAAAGGGGCCCACUUUGAGUCCAAGCUUCAUCACAAGAAAAGCCUCUGUGCGCUACCAAGACCCCGCCUAUUGUAUGGCUCAGACUAGAGAUUAACAAACAGAGGAGGUACAGCAAUAUCACAGAUCAUUUAGCUCUGUGAGCCUCACUGUGAUACAGCUCCAGUGAUGGAUGGAACAGGAACCAGGUGAGACUCUCAGGUUUCACGUGUCCUGUAUCUCAUUCGUAUGUGAGGAGAAUGGGAUCUAUGCUAAAACUCUGUGUCCCUCCUAUCUCCAGCUAAUUGAUCCAGCUCCUCUGACCUUUGAGAGCUUCACCUCUCCAGACAGUUGUGCAAGAGCUACAAGGCAAGACGCGACUUUGUGCUUCGAAGCCAUCCACCUCCUGGACCUGAACAGCAGCUCAGGAGGCAAAGCUUUAAGUGUUCCAGGGAAAUGGCAUGCAUGUGCCAGCUCCUCUGACCUUUGAGAGCUUCACCUCUCCAGACAGUUGUGCAAGAGCUACAAGGCAAGACGCGACUUUGUGCUUCGAAGCCAUCCACCUCCUGGACCUGAACAGCAGCUCAGGAGGCAAAGCUUUAAGUGUUCCAGGGAAAUGGCAUGCAUGUGCAUGUCCAUGCUCGGCAGUCCUGUGUGCACAGGGCCUGAGUACAGCCAAUAUCCGAAGCACAAACUUGCCAGCACAGAGAGGCAGCGGAACCAACCCCCGUGCCAGCAGCACGGCCGCCGAGCUGCACGCCCUAUCUGCUUCUCCGAGCUGCCGGGACCUCGCAGCUCCCACCCGCUUCACCCACAGCGUUUCAGCAAAAACGUGCAUCCCGGCACUCUGCCGCAGUGAAGCUCAUUUCUGACCCACUGGCACAAGCCACCAGUGCCGGCAGCGCCAACGGCCUCACAGCGCGCUCGCUGACAGCUUCCUCUCCUAACGGGGUCAGCGGGGGACAGAAAGAGGAUCUGACACACUUCUACUUCCCGACGUGAGAGCCGCGGCCGCUCGCAGGGCGCUGCUCAGCC
rnacentral:lncRNA from 1 species